ACUUCAAUCCAUCUUUUGUAGAACAAUCGUCAAUAUCAAUAGAUAACCUCAAUCUUUUCCAUUCAGUCAGAGAAAUAAUAAUGAUCAAAAGAGUUCUAACUUCAAAUUUUAUUAUACCUUGGAGAUAAAUAUUUGAGUAUAAUAAUCUAAGAUCGAAAUCAUCAUUCGAUAAACAAUCUCAAAUUCUUUCUAAUAAAUAGAGAAUUAUAAAAUUUAAUUCUAGGAUAGAAAAAAUUUAUCUCUAAAUAUUCUAAAUCUAAAAUCAAAAGUCCACUCAUCCU
rnacentral:lncRNA from 1 species